UACGUAGGUGGCAAGCGUUGUCCGGAAUUAUUGGGCGUAAAGGGCGCGUAGGCGGCCUGAUAAGUAGGGGGUGAAAUCCUGCGGCUUAACCGCAGGGCUGCCUUCUAAACUGUCGGGCUAGAGCACGGUAGAGGCAGAUGGAAUUCCCGGUGCAGCGGUGAAAUGCGCAGAUAUCAGGAGGAACACCCGUGGCGAAAGCGGCUCCUCGUGGGACGGUACUG
rnacentral:rRNA from 1 species